AAACUUGCCUGGCAGGGGAUCAUCAGUGAUCAAGUGGGCUGAGAUUUCAGGAUGAGACUAUCCCAUUGCCCUUCGGUUCUGUUGACACCUGCCAUAUCCCCCAAUGCAGGAUACUCCACUGUGUAAUUUGUGAUAGUGCUGGACUGCGUUCACGCUCGCUGGGA